rnacentral:rRNA from 1 species
CCUACGGGCGGCAGCAGUGAGGAAUUUUCCGCAAUGGGCGAAAGCCUGACGGAGCGACGCCGUGUGUGCGAUGAAGUCCUUCGGGAUGUAAAGCACUGUCAGAGGGGACGAUAAUGACGGUACCCUCAGAGGAAGGCCCGGCUAACUACGUGCCAGCAGCCGCGGUAAUACGUAGGGGCCAAGCGUUGUCCGGAAUCAUUGGGCGUAAAGGGCGUGUAGGCGGUCUGAUAAGUCAGAUGUUAAAUCUACGAGCUCAACUCGUAGCCGCAUCUGAUACUGUCAGGCUAGAGAAUGGUAGAGGAAAGCGGAACUUCCGGUGUAGCGGUAAAAUGCGUAGAUAUCGGAAGGAACACCAGUGGCGAAGGCGGCUCCCUGGCCAUGGCCUGACGCUGAGGUGCGAAAGCCAGGGGAGCGAACGGGAUUAGAUCCCCUUGUAGU